CAUAGAUUCUGUAUUUGAAGAAUAAAAAUAAGGUCUGAUCAGCAUUUUCUCUUGUCAGGAAAUUAAUUAGAAGCAUUGGAUUCUAAUUCAAAUAUAUAAUAUUAAGUAAAAUUAUUAGUUGUUUCUCCCAGAGCAUGUCUAUUUUUUAUAAACUCAAUACAAACACUAAUAAAAAUUGAACAGUCUUAUUUUAAUAAGACACAAAGAAUGUUUUAGAAAUUUGAAACCUAAACUGACUUUCAGUCUUUGCCUAUCUUCAAGCCAAACAGAAUUUUGGUUUUCCCCUACUUUCUUUUUCUAAGGGAUAGUUCAGAAUACUUUGGUCAGUCUGUAUCUGUCUUCUUAACUCCAUAGUCUUUUGAUUCUAGAUAUUUGGUUUUUUAUUUCUUUUUACUGUUUCUACUCUGUUUACAAACUUUCCUUCAGAGCUUUUUCAUCACUCACUUGAAACUAUCUAAGAUGAAAUUAUAGCAGGAAAUAUGUCAUAGUAUUAACUUUAUUCAAUUACUUUUUUUGUUUUUAAACAUCUUUGAAUUAUUAAAAAUACCUGUAUAUUUUCAUCUCAAUUUGCUGUAGAAUUACUGUUUUGUAAGAAAGAAAGGGCUGGGCAAUUGCUGGAAGAACAGGGCAAAUAGUGCAUUAUAUAGAAAGAGAAUGGAGGUUGAAUUUACA
rnacentral:lncRNA from 1 species